rfam:Ciona savignyi cont_26400, whole genome shotgun sequence.
GCCUCGAUAGCGCAGUAGGCUGCGCGUGAUUCUCAUAAUCUCAAGGUCGUGAGUUCGAUCCUCACUCGGGGCA